rnacentral:lncRNA from 1 species
CCCCUACAAAUGGUAUCAGAGCCUAGUUAUUUAAAAUAUACAACAGUAGCAUAUAUGUUUGAAUUUAGAUUGAAUUAGAUUAAUUAUGAGAAAACCAUUUAAAAAACAGAGAAGCUUUUAGAAAAAUUAAAGAAUCCUUAAUUAGUAAUUAUUCAGAAUAUAUAUGUCUAAAUAAAACAAAAGAAAACCCACAAAGAUUAGCCUACCUAAUUACCUUAAUAUCU